UACGUAGGGGGCAAGCGUUGUCCGGAAUUAUUGGGCGUAAAGAGCGUGUAGGCGGCCCGGCAAGUCCGCCGUGAAAGUCCAGGGCUCAACCCUGGAAUGCCGGUGGAAACUGUCGGGCUUGAGUUCGGAAGAGGCGAGUGGAAUUCCUGGUGUAGCGGUGAAAUGCGCAGAUAUCAGGAGGAACACCGGUGGCGAAGGCGGCAUCCUGGACCGGCAUUGACGCUGAGGCGACGGAAAGCCAGGGGAGCAAACGGG
rnacentral:rRNA from 1 species